GGCUCAAUGGUCUAGUGGUAUGAUUCGCCCUUCGGGUUCUGUAACAACCCUUACGCGCAGCGUGAAUGGGCGAGGUCUCGGGUUCGAAUCCCGAUUGAGCCC
rnacentral:tRNA from 1 species